GCAUUUGUAUGGGGGGCACCCUGUCAGCGACGCCGCGUGGAGGAUUGAAGGUCUUCGGAUUGUAAACUCCUUUUGGAGGGGACGAAAACCCCACCCUUCCUGCCUGUAUAAUAACAGGCAGAAAGGGUGGGAUUGACUGUACCCUCAGAAAAAGUCACGGCUAACUACGUGCCAGCAGCCGCGGUAAUACGUAGGUGGCUAGCGUUACUCGGAAUUACUAGGCGUAAAGCGCAUGUAGGCGGUCAUAUAAGUCAAUUGUGAAAGCCCCAGGCUUAACUUGGGGAGCGCGGUUGAAACUCUAUGACUUGAGUGUGAGAGAGGAAACUGGAAUUCCCGGUGUAGCGGUGAAAUGCGUAGAUAUCGGGAGGAAUACCAAUGGCGAAGGCAGGUUUCUGGAUCAAUACUGACGCUGAGAUGCGAAAGCUAGGGGAGCAAACAGGAUUAGAUACCCUGGUAGUCCUAGCUGUAAACGAUGUUCACUGGGUGUGGGUGGUAUCGACCCCUUCCGCGCCGAAGCUAACGCAUUAAGUGAACCGCCUGGGGAGUACGGCCGCAAGGUUGAAACUCAAAGGAAUUGACGGGGGCCCGCACAAGCGGUGGAGCAUGUGGUUCAAUUCGACGCAACGCGAAGAACCUUACCUGGGCUUGAACAGCAGGUGGUAAAAACCCGAAAGGGCAAUGACCCGCAAGGGAGCCUGUAGAGGUGCUGCAUGGUUGUCGUCAGCUCGUGUCGUGAGAUGUUGGGUUAAGUCCCGCAACGAGCGCAACCCUCAUCCUAUGUUGCCACUCCCGCAAGGGAAGCACUCUUAGGAAACUGCCCCGGAUAACGGGGAGGAAGGUGGGGACGACGUCAAAUCAUCAUGGCCCUUAUGUCCAGGGCUACCCCACGUGCUACAAUGGCCCGG
rnacentral:rRNA from 1 species